rnacentral:rRNA from 1 species
GAGACUGCCGGUGACAAACCGGAGGAAGGUGGGGACGACGUCAAGUCAUCAUGGCCCUUAUGGGUAGGGCUACACACGUGCUACAAUGGUCGGUACAAAGGGUCGCCAACCCGCGAGGGGGAGCCAAUCCCAUAAAGCCGAUCUUAGUCCGGAUCGCAGUCUGCAACUCGACUGCGUGAAGUCGGAAUCGCUAGUAAUCGCGGAUCAGAAUGCCGCGGUGAAUACGUUCCCGGGCCUUGUACACACCGCCCGUCACACCAUGGGAG